AUGGCCUAUAAAUUGAGAGUCUUACCGCAAUUCCACACCCAUAUUUCAGUAGCCAAGGAGAGGGUGAGAGAAGGAGAGUGUGAUUAGAGGGAAGUAGAGAAGAAGAGAAAAAAUGAAAAGGAAGAAAAUGGUGCCUUCUAGGGUCAAGGUGAUGAAGCAGUUUACAAUGGUGAUGGUUAAUUCGAAGGCAAAUAAGAUGAAGUGUUGGAGCUAUGGUUUAUUUGAAGACUUAGAUUAGUUUUUUUUUUUCCUUUUGCCUUUUGGUUUGGCAAUGUUUUGCUAAUCUUGUAAUGGAACAUAAACGAAUAAUUUGUGAUAUUAACUCUGGUUAUAUAUGUAUAUUAAGAUAUUUUGAUUAUCUA